rnacentral:SRP_RNA from 1 species
UAUUGGUUGUUCUGCAACGUGAUCUUGUAAAUUCGGUCAGGUCUGGAAAGAAGCAGCCGUAGCAAGUAAGCGUGUGCUGAAAUUAGCUAAAAAGA